rnacentral:SRP_RNA from 1 species
GGCCAGGCCCGUCGCAACGGAAGGCGGCGAAUUCCGUCAGGUCCGGAAGGAAGCAGCGGUAGCCGCAUGACUCCGUGUGCCGACGGUUCCCCUGGCCGCC